rnacentral:rRNA from 1 species
GGUCAGGAUGAACGCUGGCGGCGUGCAUAACACAUUCAAGUCGAACGGAGAUAUUGAAUUAAUCCUUCGGGAAGCGUUUAAAUAACUUAGUGGCGGACGGGUGAGUAACGCGUGAGCAACCUGCCUUGAAGAGGGGGAUAACACAGGGAAACUUGUGCUAAUACCGCAUAACGUACGUGAAUCGCAUGGUUCGUGUACCAAAGCUCCGACGCUUCAAGAUGGGCUCGCGUCUGAUUAGAUAGUUGGCAGGGUAACGGCCUACCAAGUCGACGAUCAGUAGCCGGACUGAGAGGUUGAACGGCCACAUUGGAACUGAGAUACGGUCCAGACUCCUACGGGAGGCAGCAAUGGGGAAUAUUGGGCAAUGGGCGCAAGCCUGACCCAGCGACGCCGCGUGAGGGAAGAAGGUCUUCGGAUUGUAAACCUUAGUCAACAGGGACGAAGCAUGACGGUACCUGUGGAGGAAGCCACGGCUAACUACGUGCCAGCCGCCGC